AUUGAACGCUGGCGGCAGGCCUAACACAUGCAAGUCGAACGGUAACAGGAAGCAGCUUGCUGCUUUGCUGACGAGUGGCGGACGGGUGAGUAAUGUCUGGGAAACUGCCCGAUGGAGGGGGAUAACUACUGGAAACGGUAGCUAAUACCGCAUAACGUCGCAAGACCAAAGAGGGGGACCUUAGGGCCUCUUUCCAUCGGAUGUGCCCAGAUGGGAUUAGCUAGUAGGUGGGGUAACGGCUCACCUAGGCGACGAUCCCUAGCUGGUCUGAGAGGAUGACCAGCCACACUGGAACUGAGACACGGUCCAGACUCCUCCGGGAGGAAGCAGUGGGGAAUAUUGCACAAAGGGGGCAAGCCUGAUGCAGCCAUGCCGCGUGUAUGAAGAAGGCCUUCGGGUUGUAAAGUACUUUCAGCGGGGAGGAAGGGAGUAAAGUUAAUACCUUUGCUCAUUGACGUUACCCGCAGAAGAAGCACCGGCUAACUCCGUG
rnacentral:rRNA from 1 species